AGAGUUUGAUCCUGGCUCAGGAUGAACGCUGGCGGCGUGCCUAAUACAUGCAAGUCGAGCGAACGGAUGAGAAGCUUGCUUCUCUGAUGUUAGCGGCGGACGGGUGAGUAACACGUGGAUAACCUACCUAUAAGACUGGGAUAACUUCGGGAAACCGGAGCUAAUACCGGAUAAUAUUUUGAACCGCAUGGUUCAAAAGUGAAAGACGGUCUUGCUGUCACUUAUAGAUGGAUCCGCGCUGCAUUAGCUAGUUGGUAAGGUAACGGCUUACCAAGGCAACGAUGCAUAGCCGACCUGAGAGGGUGAUCGGCCACACUGGAACUGAGACACGGUCCAGACUCCUACGGGAGGCAGCAGUAGGGAAUCUUCCGCAAUGGGCGAAAGCCUGACGGAGCAACGCCGCGUGAGUGAUGAAGGUCUUCGGAUCGUAAAACUCUGUUAUUAGGGAAGAACAUAUGUGUAAGUAACUGUGCACAUCUUGACGGUACCUAAUCAGAAAGCCACGGCUAACUACGUGCCAGCAGCCGCGGUAAUACGUAGGUGGCAAGCGUUAUCCGGAAUUAUUGGGCGUAAAGCGCGCGUAGGCGGUUUUUUAAGUCUGAUGUGAAAGCCCACGGCUCAACCGUGGAGGGUCAUUGGAAACUGGAAAACUUGAGUGCAGAAGAGGAAAGUGGAAUUCCAUGUGUAGCGGUGAAAUGCGCAGAGAUAUGGAGGAACACCAGUGGCGAAGGCGGCUUUCUGGUCUGUAACUGACGCUGAUGUGCGAAAGCGUGGGGAUCAAACAGGAUUAGAUACCCUGGUAGUCCACGCCGUAAACGAUGAGUGCUAAGUGUUAGGGGGGUUUCCGCCCCUUAGUGCUGCAGCUAACGCAUUAAGCACUCCGCCUGGGGAGUACGACCGCAAGGUUGAAACUCAAAGGAAUUGACGGGGACCCGCACAAGCGGUGGAGCAUGUGGUUUAAUUCGAAGCAACGCGAAGAACCUUACCAAAUCUUGACAUCCUUUGACAACUCUAGAGAUAGAGCCUUCC
rnacentral:rRNA from 1 species